GUAUUUAUUUGCAGUUCCUACAUGUGGCCUAUCACAUUGAAGAUCAUCUUGGAAAAGUAUAUAAGCUAUACGUUAAACACCACAAACAUAACAAACACGAGUUAAAAAAGUGACCUCUACACGACCUCAGUUUCAUCUUGUGAGCAGCGUCUUCUCACUGAUAACAGAUCCGGGUUGAAGAGGCCAGUGGUCCCAGGAGAGACGUCCAGGCCUCCUUCUCAGUCGCCACCUCUUCCAGCUCUUCUGUGGGGACACUGAGGUGCUCCCAGGGACUACC